CUACGGGUUGCUCCAGUGGGGAAUAUUGGACAAUGGGCGCAAGCCUGAUCCAGCCAUGCCGCGUGGAUGAUGAAGGCCUUAGGGUUGUAAAGUCCUUUUAACGGGGAAGAUAAUGACGGUACCCGUAGAAUAAGCCCCGGCUAACUUCGUGCCAGCAGCCGCGGUAAUACGAAGGGGGCUAGCGUUGCUCGGAAUCACUGGGCGUAAAGCGCACGUAGGCGGCUCUUUAAGUCAGGGGUGAAAUCCUGGAGCUCAACUCCAGAACUGCCUUUGAUACUGAGGAGCUUGAGUCCGGGAGAGGUGAGUGGAACUGCGAGUGUAGAGGUGAAAUUCGUAGAUAUUCGCAAGAACACCAGUGGCGAAGGCGGCUCACUGGCCCGGUACUGACGCUGAGGUGCGAAAGCGUGGGGAGCAAACAGGAUUAGAUACCCUCGUAGUC
rnacentral:rRNA from 1 species